AUUGAACGCUGGCGGCAGGCCUCACACAUGCAAGUCGAACGAGUGGCGGACGGGUGAGUAAUGUAUGGGAAACUGCCCGAUGGCGGGGGAUAACUACUGGAAACGGUAGCUAAUACCGCAUACCAUCGGAUGUGCCCAGAGGGGAUUAGCUCGUUGGUGGGGUAAUGGCUCACCUAGGCGACGAUCCCUAGCUGGGCUGAGAGGAUGACCAGCCACACGGGAACUGAGACACGGCCCAGACUCCUAAGGGAGGCAGCAGUGGGGAAUAUUGCACAAUGGGCUCAAUCCUGAUGCAGCCAUGCCGCGUGUAUGAAGAAGGCCUGCGGGUUGUAAAGUACUUUCAGCGAGGAGGCGUUACUCGCAGAAGAAGCACCGGCUAACUCCGUGCCAGCCGCCGCGGUAAUAC
rnacentral:rRNA from 1 species